UAUUACCGCGGCUGCUGGCACGGAGUUAGCCGGUGCUUAUUCAAGAGGUACCGUCAUAAUCUUCCCUCUUAAAAGGAGUUUACACACCGAAAUGCGUCAUCCUCCACGCGGCGUUGCUGCACCAGAGUUUCCUCCAUUGUGCAAUAUUCCUCACUGCUGCCUCCCGUAGGAAUCUCU
rnacentral:rRNA from 1 species